rnacentral:rRNA from 1 species
UACGAAAGGAGCGGGUGUUAUUCGGAUUAACUGGGCGUAAAGGGCACGUAGGUGGUUUGUUAUGUGUAUUAUAAAAGGAUAAAGCACAACUUUAUUAUGUAAUAUAGACAGCUAAAUUAGAGUUAGAAAGAGGGUAGUAGAAUAUCUAAUGUAAAGGUGAAAUUUGUUAAUAUUAGAUAGAAUAUCAGAGGCGUAAGCGACUACCUGGGUCUAACUGACAUUGAGGUGCGAAGGCCAGGGAGCAAACGGG